rnacentral:lncRNA from 1 species
GACUUGGAACCAACCCAAAUGUCCAACAAUGAGAGACUGGAUUAAGAAUUAUGUAUUCUGGAUACUGGACCCUUAUCAGAUGUAUUUGCAAAUGUUUCCCAUUGUGUAAGUUUUUACUUUCUUUGCAGUGUCCUUUGAUGUAAAAAUAGUUUAAACUUUUGAUGGAGACCAAUUUAUCUGUUUUUUCUUUGAUUGCUUAUGCUUUUAGUGUCAUACCUGAGAAUCCAUGAUCAAAUUCAAGGUCAUUGGGAUUUACCCCUAUGUUUUCUGAGUUUAUCUGAUGACACUUUUGUGGAAUAAAAGUGCUCCGAUGUGAGAAUAUAUACAGUCAUGUGCAGUGGGCUUAUGGAGUGCUUGCUCCAGAAGCAUGAAAUCACACUCAACUUAGCAUCUAACCAGGAGAUAGCCCCAUGACUGUGGUCAUUGACCAUAUCACAUAAUUCAUGAUCCAGGAUCAACCAGCCUGAUAGUGUUGGAAUAGCCUGCUAAAAGCACAUUUGAAGCACCAGCACAGAGGCAAUACCCAUGACAGUGGGGUGCCAUUUUCCUGAAUGCCACAUGCACAUUGAAUUUGAAUUUGAAACUUCUAUAGAGUAUUGUGUUCCCAAAAGGAAAAACUAAUCGGCCUGGGAAAAGAGAGAUGAAAACAGGAGUGGCCUCAUUUACCAUCACUCCCAGUGACUCACUAUGGAUUUUGUGCUUCCCAUCCUUACAGUUUGGGGUUCUGCUUGAUUACCAUUCUGAUCUCCAAAGGAGGCUUAUUCUUAUCUGGGGCAGAGCAAGGGUUUUAUUGAACUACAAGCUGUGGCUGCUGUUGAGGCAUUUUGGAGUCUUUAAGCACCAAGCGGGCAGGAAGGAGUUGCCCUUUUUGCAGGGGUAAUUUAUCCUGAUAAAAAGGUAUGUAGGGCUGUUAUUACACAAUAGAAAUAGGAAUAUGUAUGAAACUCAGGUGAUCCACAUGGGCACCUUUGUGGUAAUUCCUUGUCCAAUUAUGACUGUGGAUGGACAAGUGCAGUGACCCCCACCUGAAAAAGUUACUGUUGUCUUGGUUUCAGACCCUUCAAGAAUGAGUGUGUGGGUCACACCACCAGAUAAUUCACCCAGACCUGCAAAGGUAGGUGAUAGCUGCUAAGACAAUUCAGAAUGGAUGGUUGGAGAGAGAGAUGAAUACCAGUUGUGGCCCCAAGACCAACUGCAGUGAUGUGGCUGAGUUUGACCCACUAACCUUUCUUUUUUAAAAGUCUUACCCUCAGGAUGAGAGGCCCACUGAGGAGUAGCUCCCAGGAUAUGCAUGGAGAAGUGGAUUGAUUUGGUACAAGGGGUGAAAAGUGGCAGUUAUGAAGUGUGCUAUUUAGAUCUCCAAAAGAUAACCAUCCACAGGGAGUGCAGUUAUCUGACAGCACCAGUUGCAGAUACCCUCAGGAUCUUCCUUCAGUGUCCACACCAAUGAGCUGAGGCCAUUCAUUCUGGGCAGUCCACAGGCAAUGACUGCACAUGGUGUUGGUAUCAGGGCUCAUCGUUUCCAGCUAGUGUGAGACUCCUCCUCUAUGGGCAGUCUUGGUGUUGGAGCUCACUGCUAAAUUGGUUGAGACUUUCUCAGAAUGAGCACAGUCUGAGGCUCUUCCUACCUAAUCUUACUUCUCCUUUCAUGUGAGUCAAACCUAUAUCAGGGGCAGAAAUAUUUUUUUUCCUGCUUGUGCUCUCUCUCCUCUUUAUAUUUUAUAGGCAUUAUCUCCAACAAACAUCUCGUACUUUGAACUGCAUCUUGGCUUCUUCUUUCCAAAGGACCUCCUCUCCCAGACUUGCAUCAUCAUCACUGGUAGAUGAUAACUUAGGCUUGAAUAAAUUAAGUGGCUCACCUCAGGUCCCACAAAUGUUAAAUGGACUAUUUUUUCACAAUACUUAUUCUCAUACUGAAUAAUAUCCAUGAAAUCACGCAAUUGAUGUGCAAGUUAUAAUUCCCUAAUUCACAUUGAAAGUAUAACUAACUAUUAAAUUUAAAAUAAAAAACAAGACUAAGUCUGGUCAACUUAGUUAUCCCACACUGGAAAAGUACAUAAUAUCACAUUUUUUUUUUGUUGAGAAUUUGUUUGUUCUAUGAAAGCAUAUUUGGCCAAGAGUUAAUUUUUGAGAUUUAGUCAAUGUAGUCAUUCUGAAGAAAUGGAGUACCUAUCGUCUUACUGAGAAACCAAUUUCAAUGCUUAUGGCUGCCAGCCUGUGUUAGACACAUCCAUCAAAACAGCAAAGGAGAUAGUCCAGUUUUAUGCCCUCCAAGCCAAUAUUCUAUUCCUAUGGCCUCUAAAAUGGAGUAUGUGUACUUAAAGAAAUAUGCAAGAUAAUACACAGAGUGACAAAGGAAAUAUUUUAACUAUUUUGUGAACAUAAAAUUAAACUUUUACUAAUAGGUUGGUGCAAAAGGAAUUGCAGCUUUUGCCAUUACAUUCAAUAGCAAAAACCACAAUUACUUUUGAACCAACCAAAUACUUAAAAUAGGCGGACACCAGUUCAUAUAUUCCACAUGCAUAAACUAUGUAUGCUCAAAAAUGGAGACAACUGUUAAAACCUGCUGUCUAAAAUUAACAAAACACAAGCCUUCCAUUCUAGUGGAGAAGAGGACAAAUAUAAUAAAUUAAUGCUAUAUGCAUAUACACUAUACAUAAAGUAUGUCCUAAGAGCUAUGGAGAAAAAUGUAGAAAAGGAGAACAGGGAGUGCUAGUGUGAGAUUCAAGAUUAAAUGUGGUUCUGAGGUAGGACCUCACUGUAAAGGUGAUGACUAAGCAAAGACCCAAAGAGGGUGAGAAAGCCAGCUCUGUAGGUAACUUGAGAAAAAAGUGCUCCAGAGAGAGGAACUAGGAUUGUCCUUUUGCUAGGGGCACAGCCUAAUAAAAGUAUAACUAACGUCCUUUUUUGUUACAAAGCUGGACAUUCAAAACAUUAAACAUAUUAUAACCAAUUUUUGCCAGAGGUUGCAAGUGUUUUUUGUGAAAAAUCAGACCUUGGCGAUGACCUUGAGCAGUAGGAUAUAAAUAACUCCCACAAGCUUAAUGUUCCAAUAAUGGAACACUAGGCAUAGAUAGGUUAAAGAUCAUUGCUAUCCCCAUACUCUGGACCCCUGCCUGAUGAAUACAUUAAGCUGACACCUGAGACACUGAUUCACCAAUUAACAAACUUCAGGCAUGUUGUUAAUGAUAGAACCUUCAUGACAGUGAUCCAGAGUUCCAGAUUCUAGAGUAUUCAGAGGUGGAAAUUCAUAGUCCAUGCUCAAGAUCGAAUGGCAUCUCUCAGACUGGAAGACCUUUCUGAAGUCAGUUCCAGACAUCCCUGGAAGGCUGGAUAAUUUGGGAAAAGGCUGACUCAAUGUAAGAGGAAGAAACUAAAAUCGAGAGAGGUUAAUAAUUGUGCCCGAGGCUACACAGCUACUAAGCAAACCAGAUCUAUGCUCAAAGCCCAUGCAGGACUGUAACCACGGUGCAAGAUCAAUCCUCCUGCUUGGAGAACUGAUCCAACUCCACACCUGUAUCUUCAGGUUGGACUCGCUUCUUCAACCCAUGUACAUGUCCAGUAUUCCUUCAUCAUUGACAAAUACCUUCCUUUGACUUUACUGAUUCUCUGACUACCACCUUUUCAAUGAAGGUAUUUUUUCAGUCAACCAUUUUAACAAAUUCAUCUUUGCUUGGUCUCCAAUUCCUCUCCUUGAAGUUGCUCUUCACAUCACUAUAAACCAGCUUUUGAUCUCAUUGCUUCUUAGAGAGUUAGUAAAAAAAAUGGAUAGAAUAAUAGUUGCAGCUGUUGUAUAUGGCGGUAAACAAUAAAAACUACCAUCAUUUAUUGAGUAUUAUGUGUUCGACAUAGGAAUAAGUACUUCACAUAUCUAUGGAUCUAAGUAUCAAUAAAUACCUACUACAUUUCAGGCACUAUGCCAGGUGCUGGGAAUCAAAUGGUAAACAGGUUACACUUGGUUUCUGUCACCACAGAACUCACAGUCUAUUAGAGGAAAGAGACAAGUAAGCAAGCGAUUAAAAAGCUGCUUCAUAAAUGUCACAAUUGGGCAAAUACUGGGCACUGCAGGUCCACACAGCAAGGGCUAUAAAUCCAGAUUUGAAAAUACUUCCUAGAAGCAACAAUCCAAAGCACAGGGCUAUGGGGUAAAGCAGAGGGAGGAAAGGGGGGUUCCAUGGCAGGAGCUGAGAGUAGCCCCGCAUAGGUGAAGAACAAAGCUCAGCAAGACAGGAGGGGCAUGUGCUGGUGGGGAACGGAGAGAACUGUACUGGAGACUGAGCGAGGAGGUGCUGAAGCUCGGGCCAAGGAACUGAACUUCACCUAAGGGCGAUGACAAAGCCAAGAUCAUCUUGAGCAGAAACUAGCAUGGUCAAGAUUUGCCUUUAGAAAUUUCUCUCUGGCUAGAAUGUGAGAAUGGACUGGGGAGGAAAGGGUGGAUGGUGAGGCAGCACAUCUCUGUGUUUCUCAGCUCUAUCAACACAGAGAUUUCACAAACAUUGGGUAACACAGGAGACUGUUAGACCAACAGAGUGUAAGAAUCAGAACACUGAGGACAGAGAGAAAGGAAUGGAUUAGAGUGAAAUUUAGAAGUAGACAUGAUAAUAGUUGGUAACUGAUCAGAUGUGGGACACAACAGAAAAAGGACAGAUAAGGAAAAUACCCAGAUUUCUGGAAUGGGCCUCUAGGCUUGAGAGAACACCGCAGGAGAAAUGGUGUGAAGAUGAGUUUUAUGCAUCUAUCACCAUUGGUCUCCUCCAUACUACCAUGCCUGGCAUUCCAAGCCAUUUGUGAUCUGACAUGUCUUUUUCAUCCUUGUCUCUUGCCACUAUGCCCCUCACAUUUUGUAUUAGGGGGAGAAAAAAAAUCCACAGUUCCAAGACAAAGAUCUUUCACAUCAGAGUGGCCUGUUACUUGCAUGCCGUGAAUGUCAUUCCCUCCCUAUGUGUACUUGAGAUUCUCCCACUCACAUCUAAUCUUGAGCACAUCAUUUACAACAUUUUUCCUGAGAUCCACCCCUGCUCAGUUAUGCCUCCCUCCUCUGGGCAACCUCCCUACUGGGCUUUGUUACAUCAGUGAGAUACACUGUAAUUAAAUCCCUUUGGCUCUCCAUCUGCACUACCAGGCCUUCUUGGCAGCAUACUGCUUUAUAUGUCUCUGCAUCCCAAGCCAUUUAUUAAUCUACACAGUAAUCCUUUCCUAACCAUCAGUCAGGUACUAUGCUAGAUUUGGCAGCACAAAACCUUAGGCUACAUACCUGCCCUGAAGACACCUCAAGCAAGUGAGAAUCAAUCUCUCUCUCUCUCUCUCUGUCUCUCUCUCUCACACACACACACACACACACACACACACACACACCC